ACGAAAUCGAUGACGGGAAUAAAGGAAUGAGAGUUCGGUAUUCACAGAGAGCCGGGGAUGGUGGAAGCCCGGAAAUACCGCUUAUUCCGACAUCCUCCCUGAGUGUUAAGCUGAACGGGCCAUCCCAACUAGGCUUAGCCGGGUGUUUUUCAGCACCUGUUACAAAAACGGAGCGGAGCCCUUUUCCGCUUCAUGAGGCAGCAGUUGCAAGACUGCUGUGAAUCCGGGUGGUACCGAGAAAAGAUCAAUGCCUUUU
rnacentral:ncRNA from 1 species